rnacentral:rRNA from 1 species
CCUACGGGUGGCAGCAGUAGGGAAUAUUGCUCAAUGGGGGAAACCCUGAAGCAGCAACGCCGCGUGGAGGAUGAAGGUUUUCGGAUCGUAAACUCCUUUUGUUAGAGAAGAUAAUGACGUUAUCUAACGAAUAAGCACCGGCCAACUCCGUGCCAGCAGCCGCGGUAAUACGGAGGGUGCAAGCGUUACUCGGAAUCACUGGGCGUAAAGAGCGCGUAGGCGGGAUAGCAAGUCAGAUGUGAAAUCCUAUGGAUUAACCAUAGAACUGCAUUUGAAACUGUUAUUCUAGAGUAUGGGAGAGGUAGGUGGAAUUCUAGGUGUAGGGGUAAAAUCCGUAGAUAUCAAGAGGAAUACUCAUUGCGAAGGCGACCUGCUAGAACAUAACUGACGCUGAUGCGCGAAAGCGUGGGGAGCAAACAGGAUUAGAUACCCGAGUAGUC